CCCGCGAUAGCUCAGUUGGUAGAGCGGAGGACUGUAGUAGCCAGCUAGUAAUCCUUAGGUCACUGGUUCGAAUCCGGUUCGCGGGA
rnacentral:tRNA from 1 species